rnacentral:rRNA from 1 species
GUUGUGAGAGCAAGAGCCCGGAGAUGGAUUCUGAGACACGAAUCCAGGCCCUACGGGGUGCAGCAGGCGCGAAAACUUUACAAUGCUGGCAACAGCGAUAAGGGAACCUCGAGUGCCAGGUUACAAAUCUGGCUGUCGAGAUGCCUAAAAAGCAUUUCAUAGCAAGGGCCGGGCAAGACCGGUGCCAGCCGCCGCGGUAACACCGGCGGCUCGAGUGGUAACCGUUAUUAUUGGGUCUAAAGGGUCUGUAGCCGGCCGGAUAAGUCUCUUGAGAAAUCUGGCAGCUUAACUGUCAGGCUUUCAGGAGAUACUGUCUGGCUCGAGGCCGGGAGAGGUGAGAGGUACUUCAGGGGUAGGGGUGAAAUCUUGUAAUCCUUGAAGGACCACCAGUGGCGAAGGCGUCUCACCAGAACGGACCUGACGGCAAGGGACGAAAGCUAGGGGCACGAACCGGAUUAGAUACCCGGGUAGUCCUAGCCGUAAACGAUACUCGCUAGGUGUCGGCCACGGUGCGACCGUUGUCGGUGCCGUAGGGAAGCCGUGAAGCGA